rnacentral:rRNA from 1 species
AUUGAACGCUGGCGCAUGCCUUACAAAAGGAAAGUGGAAGGUAAAAGGCCUUCGGGUGCCGGCGGAUGGCGAAAGGGGGGGUAAUGCAUCGGAAAGUUACCCGAGGUGGGGGAAAAAGGAGCCAAAGCCGGGCUAAUAACCCCAGUGAACCGGGGAUGGAAGGGGGGGGACGAGCAGGAAUGUUUGGCCUCGCCCCUUUUGAACGGCCGAUGUCGGAUUAGCUAGUUGGUGGGGUAAAGGCCUACCAAGGCGACGAUCCGUAGCUGGUCUGAGAGGACGACCAGCCACACUGGGACUGAGACACGGCCCAGACUCCUACGGGAGGCAGCAGUGGGGAAUUUUGGACAAUGGGCGCAAGCCUGAUCCAGCAAUGCCGCGUGCGGGAAGAAGGCCUUCGGGUUGUAAACCGCUUUUGGCAGGAACGAAACGGUGUCCGCUAAUACCGGGCGCUAAUGACGGUACCUGCAGAAUAAGCACCGGCUAACUACGUG